rnacentral:tRNA from 1 species
AUUGAUUUGGCAGAAAAAGUGCAUUAAUUUUAGAAUUUAAUAAAGUAAUUUGUUUACAUUCAAUA